UUAGUUAAAGCCAAAAAGAGGCAUUUUAUUGUUAAUAAAAAAAAUGAGAAAUUUCUCUAGCUAUU
rnacentral:tRNA from 1 species